CUGCAACCCAAUAUUGCAUGACAAUCCUUAUUUACAAUAGAAAACUUCAAUGCAAUGAUAUAAAAUAUAUUUCUAUUCUUCUUUUGUUUGAUCGAAAAAUUUGUCCGUUCCGCUUAACUUUCAGUCACUAGAAUCAAUCCUGCCUCCUCCCUCUAGAGACCCUUGCUGCAUUAGAACCAUAUAAAAUAUUGGGGACCAUAUAAAAUAUUACAAUUCCACUCUCCUCGGCAGAGUCGUGAAGGCUAGCUACAUAUAUGCUAUAUAUAUACACGCAAAUUAAUGCCUUAUAUUUUCCGGGUAUAUUAACUACA